CCUACGGGGGGCUGCAGUGGGGAAUAUUGGACAAUGGGGGGAACCCUGAUCCAGCCAUGCCGCGUGUGUGAAGAAGGCCCUCGGGUUGUAAAGCACUUUCAGUGAGGAAGAACGCCUGGUGGUUAAUACCCAUCAGGAAAGACAUCACUCACAGAAGAAGCACCGGCUAACUCCGUGCCAGCAGCCGCGGUAAUACGGAGGGUGCGAGCGUUAAUCGGAAUUACUGGGCGUAAAGCGCGCGUAGGUGGCUUGAUAAGCCGGUUGUGAAAGCCCCGGGCUCAACCUGGGAACGGCAUCCGGAACUGUCAAGCUAGAGUGCAGGAGAGGAAGGUAGAAUUCCCGGUGUAGCGGUGAAAUGCGUAGAGAUCGGGAGGAAUACCAGUGGCGAAGGAGGCCUUCUGGACUGACACUGACACUGAGGUGCGAAAGCGUGGGUAGCAAACAGGAUUAGAUACCCCAGUAGUC
rnacentral:rRNA from 1 species